GAUGAACGCUAGCGGCAGGCUUAACACAUGCAAGUCGAGGGGCAGCACGGGUAGCAAUACCUGGUGGCGACCGGCGCAAGGGUGCGUAACGCGUGAGCAACAUGCCCUAUACAGGGGGAUAAUCCAGGGAAACUUGGUCUAAUAUCCCCAUAGUAUUUAGAGGAGGCAUCUUCUAUAAAUUAAAGCUUCGGUGGUAUAGGAUUGGCUCGCGUGACAUUAGCUAGAUGGUGAGGUAACGGCUCACCAUGGCAAUGAUGUCUAGGGGUUCUGAGAGGAAGGCCCCCCACACUGGGACUGAGACACGGCCCAGACUCCUACGGGAGGCAGCAGUGAGGAAUAUUGGACAAUGGAUGGAAAUCUGAUCCAGCCAUGCCGCGUGCAGGAAGACAGCCCUAUGGGUUGUAAACUGCUUUUAUAUUGGGAGCAAUAAGGUCUACGUGUAGACUGAUGAGAGUACCAUAUGAAUAAGCA
rnacentral:rRNA from 1 species